AAGUUCAUCUUUUGAUCUACAUAUCGUACCCCUUGAUUGUUUUCCCCUUUCUUCCCCGCUUCUUAAUUCCCCCACUAGUCGCGAUCUACCGUGCUUUCUAUCCUUAGGAAGUGCGGUCGUGACAUGUACCGUCGAAGGUCUCGCAGCGUCGCCGUCCUUCUCAAUUAGCAACUGCGUUGCCAGUUUGCUGUUCGGACAGCCACCGUUCCUCACCGAUUCAACCUCGAAACGACACGGAAGCCCCCGAAACAUCUCCGAACAGCCCCGAAACAACUCCGAACCGUCCCGAAAGAUAAGUUCUCAUUACAAAGUUAUCUUCUUUCGUUGUCAGUUUUCAAUUACUCUGUUAUGGGUGUUCAAUUGGUUAUGUUAUGUUAUUGUUUGAGUUGUUCGUGUGGGAGUGAGUUUGGCAGAAUGAUAUGUACUGAUAUGCUAUGCUUAUGAAAAAUACUUGAUCGGUUGGAACGGGGUUUACCUCGCUGAGAACUAAGCUUGGCGGCAGGAGUCUGUAAGGCCGAAAGGGGUGAACUCCUUGGCUUGGCAGAUUGUUUCUGCCGUGAAUUUCAUAAGAAGAGAAUGAGUUCUCAUCCGUGACCAACACUUGGAAAUCAAAAAGGAAGAUGGAAAGGAAAUCGUGACUUGUGACGAGUUGAAGGUGGAAGGUGGAAGAUCAUGUGUGACCUUUGGUUGUGAUGAAAGAUGGAAGAUCACCUGGAAGAUGGCGUUAGGGAAGGGGAAGGAUUGGGCUCAAAAUCUAUCUCCCACAUUUUAUUUAUUCAUUGAAGUUCAUAGGCCCAAAAUGAUUUAUUUUGUUGUAAAUAAAUCAAGCCCCAAUUUUUUUAUUUGUCAUAGAACUCUUCUAUUUUCUAUGGCCCAAGGCCAUCGUGAACCAAUGUUUGAACUCUAAUUCAUCAUUUAAGAAUUCCAAGUGUAUCAUUAUUA